rnacentral:rRNA from 1 species
UACGUAGGGUGCAAGCGUUGUCCGGAAUCAUUGGGCGUAAAGAGCGUGUAGGCGGUUCGGUAAGUCGGCUGUGAAAGUCCAGGGCUCAACCCUGGGAUGCCGGUCGAUACUGCCGGACUAGAGUUCGGAAGAGGCGAGUGGAAUUCCCGGUGUAGCGGUGAAAUGCGCAGAUAUCGGGAGGAACACCUAUGGCGAAGGCAGCUCGCUGGGACGUUACUGACGCUGAGACGCGAAAGCGUGGGGAGCAAGCAGG